rnacentral:rRNA from 1 species
AUUGAAUGCUGGCGGCAGGCCUAACACAUGCAAGUCGAGCGGUUUCAGUAAGAAAGCUUGCUUUCUUCUGACGAGCGUCGGACGGGUGAGUAAGGCCUGGGAAUAUGCCCUGAUACGGUGGGAUAACCAUUGAAAUCGAUGGCUAAUACCGCAUAAUCUCUUCGGAGCAAAAGAGGGGGACCUUCGGGCAUCUCGUGUCAGGAUUAGCCCAGGUGGGAUUAGCUAGUUGGUGAGGUACGAGCUCACCAAGGCGACGAUCCCUAGCUGGUUUGAGAGGAUGAUCAACCACACUGGAAAUGAGACACGGUCCAGAUUCCUACGGUAGGCAGCAGUGGGGAAUAUUGCACAAUGGGGGAAACCCUGAUGCAGCCAUGCCGCGUGUAUGAAGAAGGCCUUCGGGUUGUAAAGUACUUUCAGUUGUGAGGAAGGCGUUGGAGUUAAUAGCUUCAACGUUUGACGUUAGCAACAGAAGAAGCACCGGCUAACUCCGUGCCAGCAGCCGCGGUAAUACGGAGGGUGCGAGCGUUAAUCGGAAUUACUGGGUUUAAAGCGCAUGCAGGUGGUUUGUUAAGUCAGAUGCGAAAGCCCGGGGCUCAACCUCGGAAUUGCAUUUGAAACUGGCAAGUUAGAGUACUGUAGAGGGGGGUAGAAUUUCAGGUGUAGCGGUGAAAUGCGUAGAGAUAUGAAGGAAUACCGGUGGCGAAGGCGGCCCCCUGGACAGAUACUGACACUCAGAUGCGAAAGCGUGGGGAGCAAACAGG